CGUCGCGCCGAGGUUCGACGCUGUCGAGCUCAUUCUCUGUGUAGGAGUGUCGAAACGCGACGAAACUUGGCGUGCUAGAUUCGCGACUUCGAGACGAAGAUUCUGAGCCCAAGAUCGCGAUUUUUGGAGUAGGUUCCAGCGUCGACGUUUCGUAUUCUGGCCAGUUCUCUGCGUAGGAGCGUCGGAAUUCAGCAAAACCUGGACCAUUGGAUUCGUGACUCUGAGACGAAGAUUCGGAACCCUUGUUUGCUGAAUUUGGAUAAGAUUAGCUUGGUCGGAUUAAACACUUUCUUCGCUGCUGUUUCUGGGCAGAUUUCGUGAUUUUAAGUGUAAAUGGAUUUACUUCUUCGCGGCAGGAGAACCGGGGAUUUCGACGGACCAGCGAGGGAUCAUUUUGGAUCCGGGCCACUUUCUUCGCUGCCAGGAGUUGCUUGAGAGAGCCACAGGUUUCGGCUGCUGCGCCUUCCGCGGAUCAGGA